rnacentral:lncRNA from 1 species
GGCUUUCGAACAUUUUCAGCUGUCAAAACUGUCAGUUUCAGUAACUUUACACAUCUCUUUAAACGUUUAUCGACCGUUUUUUUUGGACUGACGUCGAUUGUUACCACCAAUUUUGAAGUUUUGGGCUGUAGCUGUUUGUGGUGUAUUGGCUGCUUUUCGGUGAGGACGAAAUGAUCAUGACUUGGAUUUGGAAUCCUGGAUGUGUUCCUCACUAUAAUCUCCGGUCAACAUUUGGUCUUGCGGAUGCAUGUGUGCCAUUCUUUCCCGCCAGAAGCCGUUCUUGUUGGGUGGACAGCCGGAAGUGGUUGAUUCCUGCAAAAUCUUUAACAUUAUUUUUUACGUCCUUCGGAUCUCGAGUCGGCCGCCGAUGUCAAUCUACAACGCAGUUUCUUUGAUGGAAUUGUGUGGUCCCUGCACGGGGACAGAAAAGUCAUGGACGUUUUGCAUCAUCGAUAUCUUCGUGACGCACGCUCAUCUUGCUUUACUGUUUCUCAUGCUGCUACCCAACUCGUCUUAGCACUGGCCAGUUUGACCACUCAAGUGAUCGCUUCCGGCCGCUGUUACACACCUGCAGUCACUCACCACGGGAUUACCAACACCACGAGGUAAUGCAGAGAUGUUGCCUAGAUGAACAUUGAACACCAAAAGAUUGACGGCAGCCCUAAAAUGUCAGCGUGGAUCAUCGUAUUGUUGCUAUUGUUGCGUUUGUUUUGUGUUAGUUAACCCGUUGUCUGCCACGCCUUUG